UACGGGGGGGGCAAGCGUUGUUCGGAAUUACUGGGCGUAAAGGGCUCGUAGGCGGCCAACUAAGUCGGACGUGAAAUCCCCAGGCUCAACCUGGGAACUGCGUCCGAUACUGGAUGGCUUGAAUCCGGGAGAGGGAUGCAGAAUUCCAGGUGUAGCGGUGAAAUGCGUAGAUAUUGGGAGGAACACCAGUGGCGAAGGCGGCUCACUGGACUGGUACUGACGCUGAUGCGCGAAAGCGUGGGGAGCAAACAGG
rnacentral:rRNA from 1 species